rnacentral:rRNA from 1 species
AUACGGAGGGUGCAAGCGUUACUCGGAAUCACUGGGCGUAAAGCGCGCGCAGGCGGGCUGAUAAGUUGGAUGUGAGAGCCUACGGCUCAACCGUAGAACUGCAUCCAAAACUGUCAGUCUAGAGUGUGGGAGAGGAAGAUGGAAUUAGUUGUGUAGGGGUAAAAUCCGUAGAGAUAACUAGGAAUACCAAAAGCGAAGGCAAUCUUCUGGAACACUACUGACGCUGAGGCGCGAAGGCGUGGGGAGCAAACAGGAUUAGAAACCCCAGUAGUCC